rnacentral:rRNA from 1 species
UACAGAGGUCUCAAGCGUUGUUCGGAUUCAUUGGGCGUAAAGGGUGCGUAGGCGGCGCGGUAAGUCGGGUGUGAAAUCUCGGAGCUUAACUCCGAAACUGCAUUCGAUACUGCCGUGCUUGAGGACUGGAGAGGAGACUGGAAUUUACGGUGUAGCGGUGAAAUGCGUAGAUAUCGGUAAGGAAGACCAGUGGUGGAAGGCGGGUCUCUGGACAGUUCCUGACGCUGAGGCACGAAGGUCAGGGGAGGCAAACGGG